GAAGCGGCAAUAGUGUGAGAAAUAGUGCAAGAUAGUACAGUGAUGGAACAACGCGAAACUGCAGUCUGAAGCAGAUAGGGUUUAUCGUACUUUUUGCAUUACGGGUGUGCGAGUUUAUGGGGGAACACCGAGAUUGCGCAGUAGAGUUAUCAAAUCCC
rnacentral:rRNA from 1 species